rnacentral:rRNA from 1 species
AACGAACGCUGGCGGCAUGCCUAACACAUGCAAGUCGAACGAGACCUUCGGGUCUAGUGGCGCACGGGUGCGUAACGCGUGGGAACCUGCCCUUAGGUUCGGAAUAACUCCCCGAAAGAGGUGCUAAUACCGGCUAAUGUCUUCGGACCAAAGAUUUAUCGCCUUUGGAUGGGCCCGCGUUGGAUUAGCUAGUUGGUAGGGUAAAAGCCUACCAAGGCGACGAUCCAUAGCUGGUCUGAGAGGAUGAUCAGCCACACUGGGGCUGAGACACGGCCCGGACUCCUACGGGAGGCAGCAGUGGGGAAUAUUGGACAAUGGGCGAAAGCCUGAUCCAGCAAUGCCGCGUGAGUGAUGAAGGCCGUAGGGUUGUAAAGCUCUUUUACCCGUGAUGAUAAUGACAGUACCGGGAGAAUAAGCUCCGGCUAACUCCGUG